AUGGUCUUCAAACUAGACUUCAGAAAAGCUUUUGACUCGGUUGCGUGGCCUGCCCUCGACAAAAUCCUUCUCGCCCGAGGCUUCUCGCCCACCUUCCGCAGCUGGAUCCAAAACAUCCUUGCCACAGGCAAAACCGCCAUUCUUCUGAAUGGUAUCUCAGGCAACUGGAUUGACUGCAAAAAUGGCCUGCGUCAGGGCGAUCCCAUCUCCCCCUAUCUCUUCCUGAUCGUAGCAGACCUGCUCCAACAGCUUAUCCUCAAAAACCCCCACGCCUCGCUCCACCACCCUAUCUUCUCUCAUCUACCACCCACCGUUUUACAGUACACAGACGAUACUCUGAUCGUUGCCGCCGCCUCAUCUGAUGCCGCUGCCGCUUUGAAAGGAAUACUAGACAGCUUCGCCAACGCCACUGGAUUAGCCGUAAACUUCUCCAAAACGACGAUUGCCACCCUCCACUUGGACGACGCUGCUGCUAACGACGCCGCCCUUGCCAUGGGCUGCUCUCGCGCCUCCUUCCCCCAAACCUACCUCGGGCUCCCUCUCUCCCCUACGAAACCUCCCUCCAAUGUUUUCGACCCCAUCCUAGAACGCUCUCGCAAACUGCUGUCUGGCUGGCGUGCCAAGUUACUCGACAAGGUGACCGCCUCAUUCGUAUCUCCGCAGUCCUUGACUCCCUCCUUACCUAUUUCAUGUCUGUCUUUCGCCUCCCCAAAGAACUCUUAA
rnacentral:rRNA from 1 species